AGGUGAUUAAAUAACUUACAUGAAGACACAGAGGUGAUUAUUUGGCUGUGUUGGAUUCCAAACAAAGGAUUGAGAUGGGAUUCUCUCAGUGAUGGUGCAGAUCUGCCAAGACUAAUGAAAAAGCAUGAUGUGGAAAGAGAGACCAAGGUAAAGUCCACUGAAAGUCACUCAGAAAUAAGGGACCAACGGGAUACUCAAAAGACAAAAUUCCUUCUGCAAAGCAAAGUAAAUGGCUCACCAGAAAAGACAGAUAUCUCUUUAACUCUUUGGUGAUACAAUAACAUUUGGAUUCAUUGGAGGAAAUC